UCCAGGGUAGUCUAGUGGACAUGACAUAUGUAAGCGGAACACUGUGGGUUCGAUUCCCAUCCCUGGAC